UCAUGAGCUGCUUGCGCCCUCAACCACUUGUUUCCAACAAUGGUGGCGUGGCUGGCAACACAGUGUUUUGGUGACGCUGCACAGCUGCGGGAAGGGCUGACCGGCUGGUUGAGGGAGCAAGCGGCAGAAUUUAGUGGGGAAGGAUUUGCAAAGCUAUUUCAUCACUAUAAAACAGCAACCGAUGGAGUCCAUGAUGCAAGCUCAUACAGUGGGUUCCAGCAUUUCUAUCCCGCCUUUCUCACCCGAGGUGACUCAAGGCAGCUUAUUUGUCACUAUACAGCACCACUGAAUAAAGGGCCCUUCUACACAUGCCUACAAACCCAGAAGAAAUCAGGAUAAAAAGGAGUUUUUCCCUCCAGAAGAACUUUGAGAUCUAAUGGCUCAAAAUGGAUAAAUGAAAAUGUGUUCAUAAGUACUGAAAUUGCCCAAUUUCAAUGAUCACCAUCAUCAUCAUCAUCACAACUGCAGGAAGUUGAGGUUAUGAGGGUGUCCCAAAGUAUGAUCGUGGAACCAUUGAAUGGCAAAUUGGCACACAUCACACUAAUGAAAAGAGGUGCGAUAUCGAAGAUGCUCAAUAUGGUAUGCAUUCACUACCUAUGCUAACAUAGCUGUAGCAGAUUAGUGUGUUGGUGUGAUAAAGUCCUCAAUCUUGGUGCUUAAUACUUUGGUAUACUUUUGAUUUAUAACUCAGAAGACUCAGCUACACAGAAAUCUUGGUAAUCUCAUUUUGCCAGUUCAUUUAAUGGGGCAAGUCCCCUUGUCCUAGGUACAGGGAGGUUUGAACCUCUCUACACCAUUAUCUGGGCUCCAUGUCUAUGAUUUUAUGAUUUCCAGCAGCAAACAGUAAUUUGUGUCUAUACAUGUAACAUGCAAGCUUUUUGUAUUAGUAGCAGUAUUAUGUACUUUCUCAUAGAUUCUUACCUGU